rnacentral:rRNA from 1 species
GAUGAACGCUGACAGAAUGCUUAACACAUGUAAGUCAACUUGAACUUCGGUUUGGGUGGCGGACGGGUGAGUAACGCGUAAAGAACUUGCCUCACAGAUAGGGACAACAUUUGGAAACGAAUGCUAAUACCUGAUAUUAUGAUUAUAUGGCAUCGUAUAAUUAUGAAAGCUAUAUGCGCUGUGAGAGAGCUUUGCGUCCCAUUAGCUAGUUGGAGAGGUAACGGCUCACCAAGGCGAUGAUGGGUAGCCGGCCUGAGAGGGUGAUCGGCCACAAGGGGACUGAGACACGGCCCUUACUCCUACGGGAGGCAGCAGUGGGGAAUAUUGGACAAUGGACCAAGAGUCUGAUCCAGCAAUUCUGUGUGCACGAUGAAGUUUUUCGGAAUGUAAAGUGCUUUCAGUUGGGAAGAAAAAAAUGACGGUACCAACAGAAGAAGAGACGGCUAAAUACGUG